UCAGUUGUGAAAGUUUGCGGCUCAACCGUAAAAUUGCAGUUGAUACUGGGUGUCUUGAGUACAGUAGAGGCAGGCGGAAUUCGUGGUGUAGCGGUGAAAUGCUUAGAUAUCACGAAGAACUCCGAUUGCGAAGGCAGCUUGCUGGACUGUAACUGACGCUGAUGCUCGAAAGUGUGGGUAUCAAACAGGAUUAGAUACCCUGGUAGUCCACACAGUAAACGAUGAAUACUCGCUGUUUGCGAUAUACAGUAAGCGGCCAAGCGAAAGCGUUAAGUAUUCCACCUGGGGAGUACGCCGGCAACGGUGAAACUCAAAGGAAUUGACGGGGGCCCGCACAAGCGGAGGAACAUGUGGUUUAAUUCGAUGAUACGCGAGGAACCUUACCCGGGCUUGAAUUGCAACUGAAUGAUGUGGAGACAUGUCAGCCGCAAGGCAGUUGUGAAGGUGCUGCAUGGUUGUAA
rnacentral:rRNA from 1 species